UACAGAGGAGCCAAGCGUUGUCCGGAUUGACUGGGCGUAAAGCGCACGCAGGCGGACGCGCGCGUGGGGUGUGAAAUCUGGCCGCUUAACGGCCAGGCGCCAUCCCAUACGGCGCGUCUGGAGCCUUGCAGAGGUCGGUGGAAUUGCCGGUGUAGUGGUGAAAUGCGUAGAGAUCGGGAGGAACAUCAGUGGCGAAGGCGGCCAUCUGGGACAACACUGACGCUGAAGCACGAAAGCGUGGGGAGCGAACAGG
rnacentral:rRNA from 1 species